UUUUUCCUGGAAGCCCUGCAACAACUCUAAACUUUGAAUAUAUUGUAGAACAGAUCUAUGGCCAAUGGUGACAGAGUCUACAUAGAACUAUGCUUCGUGGUGUUCUGGGGAAAACCUUUCGACUUGUUGGCUAUACUAUUCAGUAUGGCUGUAUAGCACAUUGUGCUUUUGAAUAUGUUGGUGGUGUUGUCAUGUGUUCUGGACCAUCAAUGGAGCCUACGAUUCAAAAUGCAGAUAUUGUCUUUGCAGAAAAUCUUAGUCGACAUUUUUAUGGUAUCCAAAGAGGUGACAUUGUGAUUGCAAAAAGUCCAAGUGAUCCAAAAUCAAAUAUUUGUAAAAGAGUAAUUGGUUUGGAAGGAGAUAAAAUGCUCACCAGUAGUUCAAGUUUCUUUAAAAGCCAUAGUUAUGUGCCAAUGGGCCAUGUUUGGUUAGAAGGUGAUAAUUUACAGAAUUCUACAGAUUCCAGGUCCUAUGGACCUAUUCCAUAUGGACUAAUAAGAGGACGGAUCUUCUUUAAGAUUUGGCCUCUGAGUGAUUUUGGAUUUCUAUGUGAUAGCCCUAAUGGCCACAGAUUUUCUGAUGAUUAGCCAACAUUUAUUCUUUUGAUUUGAUUAUUGCCUCCUGUUUAAGUAAAGUUAUUAUUGCCACUGAAACCAUGUACUUACUAAUAAACUAUUUGCUAUUCAAAAAAAAA